AGUGAUAUGUUACAUAUAUCACCAGCUAGAACUUGUAGUGUCCUUGGAAACUUCAAGUUGUCAGUCUUAAAUGUACAAUUACUGUACAAGUAAACCUCAAUAUGUAAUACAAGUGAUACAUAUUUUGUGUUGAUAUAUAGGGUACAUGCAUUUGAUUCAGGUUUUUCAAUACUUUUAUGUUUUGAUUUCUUCUAGUCCAUUUCCCCUCUUAGAUACCCUGUUAUGUAUCUCAGUAGUUUGCUGCUUUAAGCAUUUCAACAAAUGUCUUCUUUAUGAUUUAUUUCAUAUGAUACAAGGAUAUCUUUUAUUGACUCUUAAUCAGUAUUUGUGUACAGGUUGAGCUUUAGCUUUAACUUUUUCUGUAGUAAUAGCUGAGUUAUUGAUAUGCAAUUGUACAGAUUGGUGCAUUUAAAAAAGUGAAAUGAAAAAAUAAAGAGGCAUUUUUAUACAUGAA